AGGGAUGUGGCGCAGCUUGGUAGCGCAUUUGUUUUGGGUACAAAUGUCACGGGUUCAAAUCCUGUCAUCCCUA
rfam:Solanum lycopersicum cultivar Heinz 1706 chromosome 7, whole genome shotgun sequence.